rnacentral:lncRNA from 10 species
CCUGGAGGCCAGGGCUGAGGGAAGGCCUGGAGCAGAGCCGGUGCGCGACCUCGCAGUGAGCAGGGAGGGCAGGCUGGGGACGUUCACCACCCAGAACGCCUCUGCUCCCCGCAACCCUGAGACUCCAGGCUCCCCUGUUCCUCCCUCCGGGAGACCCUGCCCGUCCUCCCCGCGGGGCUCCUUCGCAGUUCGGGGGAAGGGACGGGUUGCGUCCUCGGGACCUUUCUCUGCAGCCACAGCAGCGCAUCCCAGCACCUCCUCCAGGAGCCCCGCCACCUCCUGCCACCCGGACUUUCCCCACAGCGCAGCGUCCCCUCGUCCUCUCAGGGCUGGAACAGCGGUACCCGCAGACAGUGCAAAAGGGAAGUCCCUGUUGCCUUCCCAUGCAAACUGUAGGGCGCUUACAGCUGCUGGGAGAGGAAAGGAAAGAAGAAAUACGAGCCUGUGACCCGGAUCCAACCCGCGGCGCACAGACCCCGGCUCUGGGCACCCCUGGUGAGCGCCUUCUGCGCCAGAGCUCCGUACAGCACCAGCCCGCGCUCUCCCCCAGCUUCUGUUCAUUUGCUGCAGUCCUGACGGGUCAGUUGCCUGAGCAUCCAUGCUGCCAUCCAUACAAACCCAGGCACGCAGAGAUGUACAUCCUUUACCCAGGGUGACACCAUGUGGAGCUGAAUCCAAGUCCGGGAGUCUGAUGACCGUGUCUGGGCUCUGACCGCGCAGCCGUCUCACAGUGAAACAAAUUGCGGACUGGCCUUGUCCUGAGUGGCCUUAGGAAGCUGCAGUGGCCUGCAGUCUCCUGGCCAGUCUGUAGAAUUUGGCAAAGAUGAGGCACCUUAUAGCCUUACAUGUUCUUAUUUUUCUUUCCUUUUCUCUUCUUUAUUUUCUUUUUUAAGGAUUUGAAUUAGUAUAUGUAAA